rnacentral:rRNA from 1 species
AUAAAUGGCCAUACCACCCUGAAUAUGCCCGGUCUUGUCUGAUCUUGGAAGCCAAGCAGGGUUGGGCCUGGUUAGUACUUGGAUGGGAUUAAUCAGUUACUAUCUUCC